UACGGAGAGUGCGAACGUUGUUCGGAUUCACUGGGCGUAAAGGGCACGUAGGCGGCUCGGCAAAUCGGUCGUGGAAUCCCGGCGCUUACCGUCGGAACGGCGGCCGAAAAUACCGAGCUAGAGGGCGUGAGGGGUCACUGGAACUCCUGGUGAAGCGGUGAAAUGCGUAGAUAUCAGGAGGAACGCCGGAGGCGAAAGCGAGUGACUGGCGCGUUCCUGACGCUGAGGUGCGAAAGCGUGGGGAGCGAACAGG
rnacentral:rRNA from 1 species